rnacentral:sRNA from 1 species
UUUCUGCAUCUGAAAAGAGGAUGAGAACCUCCGGGGUGGAGGUUCGACCCGAGCGCAGCGAGAGAACGUUGCUUCAGCAACGGCCCGCAGGGCGAGCCACGCAGUGGCGAGUCAUCCUCUGGCACCGACCA